UUUUUUCUGGUACCAGGGAUUGAACUCAAGGGCAGUCAACCACUGAGCCACAUCCCCAGCCCUAUUUUGUAUUUUAUUUAGAGACAAGGUCUCACUGAGUUGCUUAGUGCCUUGCUUUUGCUGGCUUUGAACUCAAGAUCCUCCUGCCUCAGCCUCCUGAGCCGCUGGGAUUACAGGCGUGCGCCACCAUGCUCAACAUCUUUCCUUUAACUUUAAAAAAAAUCCUUUACUAAGAGAAAUUACUUUCUCUUGGUAAUCCUUUCUCUUGAAAUAUGUCACUUUUCCAUACAAGCUUCUUAUUUUCAUACAAAAAGCAGGUAUUAGUGUAAUGAUUUGUUAUGCUUUGAAUUUAGAAUGACCCCCAAAGACUCAUGUUGAAGUCUUGGUCCCCAGUGCAGUAAUAUUCAGAGAUGGGGGCUUGUUGAAGUGAAUGAGUCCUUGGGGAUGUAUCUUGCCCCCAGCCCUUUCCCUUCUCUGCUUCCUGGCCACCAUGAGGUGAGUAGGUUUGCUUCUACAUACCCUUUUACCUUGAUGUACUUCCUCACUAUUCUCCCAGAAACAAUGGAGCCAGCUGACCGUGGACUGGAGAUUCUGAAACUGUGAGCCAAAAUGAUCUUUCCUCUUUUAGGAUUUUCUCAAUAAUUUUGUCACAGCAACGAGAAGCUGACUAACACAUGUUUCUUAGCCUUAUGUGACACUAACUUUUUCCUUAGUAAUUUACAUUAUUCAGAGAUGUUUUUACUAUAUUUGAC
rnacentral:lncRNA from 1 species